UGCUGCUUCGGGACAGUGAGGUGU
rnacentral:piRNA from 1 species